GCCCUUUUAGCUCUGUUGUCGAGCGCUCGCUUCGCAAGCGAGGGGUCAGUGGAUCGAUCCCACUCGGGCGCA
rnacentral:tRNA from 2 species